CACUUCCCACCUCCCCGGACAUAGCGAUCCCCUUGAAAAAAACCCAACCAAAACCACGUGGGAGCGAUGCCUCCAGAUACGAGCGAGACAUCCAGGGCGAAAAAAACCCUGAGAAAAUUAACCUACGAACUAAAACCUACGACAAAAAAUCCAGAGCGAGGCCUGCAGGGUGCCCUCGCCAGAACCACGCCAGCCGCCCUCGCACCGAUCCCUCGCUCUUCGCCGCCCUCGUACCGAUUCCUCGCGCUUCGCCGCCGCCGAUCCCUUCGACGCCGCCAAUCCCUUCGCCGCCGCCGAUCUCAUAGCUACGAUCCGCUUGAGGAGCCGCCGCCGAUCUCGUCGCUACGAUCAGCUUGGGGAGCCGCCGCCGAUCCCCUUCAGGAUCCGCCGGCGAUCGCCAUCCAGGGCACAGUCUACACGUUCUAGCGCCAAGAUCCUUUCCCCUUCCUCCUGCUAUGGUCGGGGGUCGGCGGCUCGCCGGUGUGGCGCAUGGCAGCGGAGAGAAGGGGGUGAAGAACAGCGGGGCAGAGUUCUUCCGGGAGGACGGCGUGUUGCACGACAUGGACGGGUAACUCAACUACCUGUCCCUCGAGCAUGACUCCUGGGACACCAAGCCAUGGACGGCUUGGUAUUACUUCUUGGAUCCUUCCUCCCUUCUCUGUAUUUAGAAACUGAAAUUUAAUAAGGCUGUGACGCAAUUUUAUUUUGAUUUGUUGCUACCUGUAUUAGGCUGAUCUGCUAUGGUUGUGGUUCCUUGUCGUAGAGUGCCAACUACGGACUCCGCCAUGUCCAACCACCUACACAUUUAGGUUUGUUUUAAAAUCGAAUAAAUUCUUCCACUCAGAUUGUGGGAAAUAAGGUGAAUCAAAUUGGUUUUCAUAUUUGGCCCAAUUAGCUCAAAGGUUCUACUAUGAAUCUGAUGUAUUGAAGUCACUGUCUUCUAGCUAUAUGUUGUCUACAAAUUUCCCUUUUCACCUUUUUUUUGUAAUGUGAUUCCAAACUCUUAAGGUUAACCACUGCCACUAUUUCUCUAAUGAAUAUGCCAUGUGCAUAGGAAAGGUGCACCAUUUUUUCUUUAUCUUUAUCUUAGUUAAAUCCAUCCAGAGUGUAUGGAGGAACUAAAGACAUAUAGCUGAACAUAGAGCAUCAAUCCUCUUAUUGUUUAUUGUUCAUAAAAUUCUAUAUUAGAGUACCAUAUCAAUUCCAUUGUGACUUAAACGACGAAAUGCAUGAAAACUAUGUUUACUUUUCAACGUUUUUCAGACUAUUUGUCAUGUAUCCUUACUUACCGAGCAAUAGGGUUGUGGCAGAUGCUGGUAGCGCAAAAUGGAAUCCUAGAAAGAGGUCUAAUUGAUCAGCUGUGUUGAUGGACAGUUACCUGCCCAAUGUAAAUUAGAUACUAAAGGGAAAGGCAUGAAUGCGUAAGUUUUGUAGCAGUAGAUUCAGAACGAUGUUCUUUAUGCAUUUAAAAAAAAUCGUACAAUUCUUGAACAUGUUCAGAAUUAUGCAAUCAUCUCCUCGGAAUAGUGAGACAUUUCUUGGCUUAAUUUGUAUAUCCAAACUGGUGCCUUUUAGACUUGCCUGAUACAUAUCUUUGCAGGGAAAUUCACAGGGGUUCACCUCAACUGUGAAAUCAGUAGCUAGCUAUACUAUUGGCACCAUUGUUCAUGAGCAAUGUCCUACACAUGACCAGUUUUAUCACCUCUUCGGCUCUUCCUGAUGUUGCUUGUGGAUCUUGGUAACUCUGUUAAGUCUCUCUUUCUACAAUCUAAGUUGCUGCUUCACAGAAGAGAACCUCUAAAUUUACAAGUUUUAGUUUCCUUCUGGUGGGCAUCAUCUUGGUCAGCCCUUCUCUUCCUAAUUAUGCUCACAAUAAUUAGUACAUUGUCGGUAACUGCAUAUUCAAAUUGACAUAUUUCUUCUUUGCAUAUUUGAGCUAACUUUCGCACUUCCCUGGCAAGAAGUAUGACCUGGCCGACCUCAAGCAGCAUGAGUUGACCCUUCAAUGCACGCUUCCUCUUCUACCGUACUAUCUGUGCUUACCAUUAGCCAACAGGUAAACAAUUUAAAAUUUAAAAUUGACGAAUGUCACAUUUGAUUUGCUAGAUUAGGUUCAUGGAUGUCAAGCGCAUCUAAUCAGCAUCAUCAUACUUUGGGCUCUGACACUCAGCGCUGUUUGUGAGGAUUGUGGUUACCAGGAGACGUCAUAGAGACAAAGGACAUCUAUCGCAGGCGAGCCACUAACAAUUUUCCAUGAAAGGUGGCCUCCUUUGCUGCUCGUGUGAAUCGCGGCCCGAGUGUGCACCUGAAUAUAUCUUUCUUCGUGGAUUCUCCUUGUAUGCAUCGAUCCCUUCUCACGAAAUUUUAUGCCCCGCCAGUCAGCCUGCGAGGAUGCAGCGGACGCGAGCUUGCAGUGGUUGUUCCAUCGGUGCUCCAGCGUUGGCAUGAUGGCCUAUGCCAUCCUCCUUGGUGUACCCCACAUUGGCAGUGGCAACUUCGUCUGUGACGAGCUAACCUCCAUUGGGCCGCUGCCGUGCAGUCCUUUUGUUUGAGAUGAAUGUGGAUCCAUAUGUUACUGAAUAUUGAGAGAAAUGCAAACACUGGUUGGAGUUCCCGCAGAUUUAGAAUGAUGAUGAGGUAGCUGUCCAGGGCCGUGGUAUCUGCUCUGCUUUCCAGAAAAGCGAAUGCAGUCACGGAGCUUCCUGCAGAUUUUCACAUGGUGGGCGGGUGAUAUGCUGAAAAACUCGUGAUGAUCACAAUACGCCCUUUACAUUGCUCUGGUCAUGUCCAUGGGGAGGGAACAAGGAGUGAUUUUCAUAUGCGAAAAGGGAGAAUGGAAUUCAGGGAGGUGUUGUCUGCACCUUUCAUAGGGAUGGAUGACUUCUUGUCAUGAAUGAUCACCCUUUUACCUAAUGAUUUCCGGAACUGUUCAUGUGGUGCCUUCGUUGGUCCUUUUUUUCACCGAAAAAGCUUAUUUUUUUUUCUUUGCAGGUACUGCAAUAUCUCAAAGCUUUAGAAUUGAUCUGCUUGUAUUCCAAGUUUGAUUUUUUUUUGCUGAUCGUUUCCUUGUGGUGAGAUUAUGAUUUUUUGUGUGCCUUUCCCUGAAGAUUUUUUUUUGUUUUUUUAAUGUGAAUUUGGGAUAGCAUGGAGAAUGUUGCUGUCUGUCCCGCAGGUGCUGGACAUGAUUCUCGAAGAAGAUAUAGGUGUGCAUGCUUCACAUCUUGUACAUGCUUACGCAAAGUGGGAUUUUGUCCAUGUUUUGAUGAGCUCAAUUUCUUA